UACGUAGGGGGCUAGCGUUGUCCGGAAUCAUUGGGCGUAAAGCGCGUGUAGGCGGUCCGGUAAGUCCGCUGUGAAAGUCGGGGGCUCAACCCUCGAAUGCCGGUGGAUACUGCCAGACUAGAGUACGGAAGAGGCGAGUGGAAUUCCUGGUGUAGCGGUGAAAUGCGCAGAUAUCAGGAGGAACACCCAUUGCGAAGGCAGCUCGCUGGGACGUUACUGACGCUGAGACGCGAAAGCGUGGGGAGCAAACAGG
rnacentral:rRNA from 1 species